UUUUUGUUUGCGUUAGGGAUGGAAACGGCAUCCUUUUUUGUGGCUUUUUCAGACGCAAAAAAGAUAUAGUGUACAGCCCGACCCUUG
rfam:Flavobacterium suncheonense GH29-5 = DSM 17707 strain GH29-5 contig14, whole genome shotgun sequence.